rnacentral:rRNA from 1 species
AGAGUUUGAUCCUGGCUCAGAUUGAACGCUGGCGGCAUGCCUUACACAUGCAAGUCGAGCGGCAGCGCGGGGGCAACCCUGGCGGUGAGCGGCGAACGGGUGAGUAAUGCAUCGGAACGUGUCCUCUUGUGGGGGAUAACCAGUCGAAAGAUUGGCUAAUACCGCAUGAGCUCGAGAGAGGAAAGCAGGGGACCGCAAGGCCUUGCGCGAGAGGAGCGGCCGAUGCCGGAUUAGCUAGUUGGUGGGGUAACGGCCUACCAAGGCGACGAUCCGUAGCUGGUCUGAGAGGACGACCAGCCACACUGGGACUGAGACACGGCCCAGACUCCUACGGGAGGCAGCAGUGGGGAAUUUUGGACAAUGGGGGCAACCCUGAUCCAGCCAUGCCGCGUGUGUGAAGAAGGCCUUCGGGUUGUAAAGCACUUUUGUUCGGGAAGAAAAGCAUUCGGUUAAUACCCGGGUGUCAUGACGGUACCGAAAGAAUAAGCACCGGCUAACUUCGUGCCAGCAGCCGCGGUAAUACGAAGGGUGCAAGCGUUACUCGGAAUUACUGGGCGCAAA